CUUCUUGCUCUGCUGCCCAGGCUGGAGUGCAGUGGUGUGAUCAUAGCUCACUGCAGCCUCGAACUCCUGGGCUCAGCCUCCCGACUACCUGGGAUUAUAGGCGCAGGCCACCACACCUGGCUAAAUUUAUUUAUUUUAUUUAUUUUUUAUUUUUUUUGAGACAGAGUCUCGCUCUGUCGCCCAGGCUGGAGUGCAGUGGCGCAGUCUCGGCUCACUGCAACCUCCGCCUCCCGGGUUCACGCCAUUCUCCUGCCUCAGCCUCCC
rnacentral:lncRNA from 1 species